AUUGAACGCUGGCGGCAGGCCUAACGCAUGCAAGUCGAGCGGUAGAGAGGAGCUUGCUUCUCUUGAGAGCGGCGGACGGGUGAGUAAUGCCUAGGAAUCUGCCUGAUAGUGGGGGAUAACGUCCGGAAACGGACGCUAAUACCGCAUACGUCCUACGGGAGAAAGUGGGGGCUCUUCGGACCUCACGCUAUCAGAUGAGCCUAGGUCGGAUUAGCUAGUUGGUGGGGUAAAGGCUCACCAAGGCGACGAUCCGUAACUGGUCUGAGAGGAUGAUCAGUCACACUGGAACUGAGACACGGUCCAGACUCCUACGGGAGGCAGCAGUGGGGAAUAUUGGACAAUGGGCGAAAGCCUGAUCCAGCCAUGCCGCGUGUGUGAAGAAGGUCUUCGGAUUGUAAAGCACUUUAAGUUGGGAGGAAGGGUCGUUACCUAAUACGUGACGAUUUUGACGUUACCGACAGAAUAAGCGCCGGCUAACUCUGUGCCAGCCGCCGCCGUAA
rnacentral:rRNA from 1 species